CUUUCGUUCACCCUCCAAGCCCCUCUUGGGUCGAGUGACGUGAUGAGAGUUAUUCAGGAGGCGGGAGUCCUUGCGACCGUCUCAGAGACCACCAAUUAGGAUCUCAAAAAGUUUGAAAGAACAAACUGGAGGAGCCUUCCUGACUACAGCCCUGAGACACCGAGCGGGACCUUCACUCACUUGUGUUGUCUGUCAAAAACUAGAGGCUCAAGAACACCAGCUGCAGGAAAGAGAGAACCUGGACAAUCGCCGCCGCCAGCUCUACCAAGUGGCACAUCAUUCGAAACUCCCAGAGCCGCCUAAGGCGGCAAAUGAAAAUAAGAAGCCGUCUGGGCAGAUGUGGCAGAAGCCGAGUUAAGGUGUCUGAGCAGUAUGGGGUCCCGCCUAUCCCCUUAACUCCAAGGAAUGGUGGGGAACCGAAAAGAAACCAUAAAUCCUAUAAAUCAUAA